GAUUAGAGGCAGAGAGAAAAUAUCACCCUGAGUGGAGGCUGAGAUUCAAGAAGAGGCAGAACAGCAUUUUAACAUGCCCAGUCACUUUUUGAGAGAGAAUACCUGUAAAGGAAUGAGGCACAGUUGGAAAGACCGCAGUUCAGAUGACGGACUGAAGAGAGCUGGGAAAAAUCUCAGCAGAUGGCUAAAAGAAGAUUGUAAUCAUAGCUUGCCAGCCUGAUUCAGACAGAGUUGCAAAACAACAGUCCCAAACGCAGACUGUUGCUCUUUCUGAUUAUCUCACCACAAAGAAAUUGGAGAGAUCUGUUUCUUCUGCCUUCUGAUGCCACUUGAACUUUCCAAGAUCUAUCUUAAUUUUGGAGCUUUAUAAAGACACUGAGUCUGAGCCUUACAAGCUUUUUGAGUAAAUCACUGAUAAAUCUCUCAACUUCUUUGUUUCUUUGGGGAUCUAGUUUUUCUUCUAAAACUGGUAUCAGGCUAAUAAUUGCAUGUUAUCUAAAGAAUCUAGUCCAAUGUGAUAUACGUGCCAUUCCAACAGUAAUCUAACAGGCAGCACAUUUCAAGUGGACAUUGCAAAAGUCUAUUCCACAAGAGGAAACAAAUUCUUUUUGCUAUGACCACAAAGCUUAAACCUUAUGAAUGCAGCUCCAAAUAGAAGACAAGCUGAAUAGAAACGACUGGGGAAGAGCAAUACAUAUGGUUGAUUUAAAGUCUUUUUAAAAGGUAUCUGCAAGAAGGUGUGCAAUGAAAAUAUGAUCAAAAUGCCAUGUAUUCUGAAAACAUUCGGUGCCAAAUGCAACUUAGACAGUACUGAAAAUGGAGAUUCAGUAGGAAGACUUGAGCAUCAUGCAGGCAUCAUACAAAAAAAAAGUGGAAAAAAAAAAAUUGUAGUCUAGAAAGAAGGAAUACAAAAGAUCUUUUCUUCCACUUUACCAGAGCAUGAAGUGCUGUCCCUAGAACACCAAUGAAUGGACAACGUGGCAUCCACAGAACUCAGGGAGUAAAGUUCUGUAAUGCAGUAUGAAAUCAUCUGGUUUUAUCCCGUUUACUCAAACCAGGUAAAAAUGAAAUUUAAUAAUAAAAUAAAAUAAAACAAAAUAAAACAAAACAAAAUACAAAUAAAAUACAGAUUGUAAAGAUUCAAAUAAUAUUUUCUGCUGCCAGUUGAGGUACUUGGUCUCUACCGUUGCACCUGAAGCCAAAUGUAGUUGAUUUUGGUUUAAUUUGCUCUGCAGGCAGGAGUACUUGAUUUUAUAUCUUCCUACCUGUGUCAUACCAGUUUAAGAGCACUCCGCUCUCAGUCUCAGACAGGAAUCUUUUCUUCCUAACAUUUUUCAUCACUGCGUAAGUAUUUUAGUAUCUAAAGCAAUAUCUUAACCUGUGCAAUAACAGAGCAGAAUCUACAAAAUUUUGAAUACUUUAGUUGGUAAGAACAUUAGCUGCAAAGCGAGUACUUUGGCACUUGGAUUAAGAGAUGCACUUUGGAAGACUGCUAAAUUUGCUCGGAACAGUCAUUCUGAGUGAAAAUAAGUGCCUUGAGCAGGAAGAAUUGGGUCUGAUCCUAAAAGUGCUGACAUUUUACUAUAACAUGCAGCCAGCCUGUGGGGUUGUGGUUUGUCAGUUAACUGUCACCUAGUGCUUUCUUUAAUGCACAUAUUUCUGGAGGGCUUGAGGAUUUGUCUUCUGUUUUCCUUCAUAGAUGUCUUUGAUUGCUAGGACUACGUACAGUGUCCCAGAAGAACACCCAAAAAUGAGAAAGGAGAAAAACAUGGUGUAACUUUAAUGUUAACAACUAACAUUUUCUUUGGCCUGUUAAUAAUUUUCUUCUGGAUUGUAUAGCCCUCAAGCUCAUGUGAUGUCUAAGAAUGUCACAGAUGUCAAUACAUAGUGAGUAACAUAAAAUUAAACAGUUAGAGUAUCAUUUCACCAUAAGUAUCUACAGUAGCUGUAUUAUUGGAAGAUUUCACUGUGGUAUAAAAUAGUGAUCUUUAUAAAAACACUAUUAAAAGGAAGCACUUUUAAAUAAAUCUUGUGAAA